GACAGAUUGACAAGGCCAUGACAUUGCUUCAAAAGAUGGAAGGUUCCAAAUUCGUCCCAAACAUUGUGACUUACAAUAUUAUAAUGAAUAGCAUGUGUAAUGCCGGAAAGCUCGACGAUGCUAAGGGGCUGUUUGAUUCUUUGCAUGCUCGAGGCUUGCAACCUAACAUGUCGACAUGUAACAUUCUCAUGCAUGGGUUGUGCAAAGGAGGACGUACAGAGGAAGCAUAUCAGCUCCUAAAGGAGAUGGAAGGAAAUGGAUGAUUUCCAGAUGGGGUCAAUUAUAACACAAUAAUCCAAGGACUACUAAGAAAUAACAAAAGUACUAGAGCCGUGCAACUUGUCAGUGAAAUGGUUGACAGGGGUUUUUCUGCAGAUGUAGCAACGAUGGAGUUGUGGGUCAAAUAUCUCGUGAAAGAUGGAACUUCUUCCUUUUCUAGUAGAACUCUCCAUUGUCUCUGAGAUCUGUCCACUUUUUUCGUCUGAAAUGUGAUGCAGAGUAAAUCAGAUUACCGCCAAUUUUUCUUCCAAUCGUCAUCUCACUGAGUCUCAUGUCCCAUUAAUGAAGUUGUUUUAAAUCUGGGAGACAGUUCACUAUAUCGAACCCGCCAAGAUGGCAAAUAUUUGGAGGGGUGGAAGGUGGAUUUUGAUCCUUGUAUAUCUAGGUUCAGUACAAAAUCUCUGUAUUUAACUGCUUCUUAUGUGCAAAUAACAUAGGGAUGGCUUGCUGAGUGAGGAACGUGGCUGCAAGUGUAUGAAAGCUACUUGAAGUAUCUUCCCCUUUGCACUGCAAGGGAUUUUCCAAAAAGCAUUUGAUGAUGGGUGAACAUGAACCCCAUUGACAAACAUUCCCAAUGCUAGAGGUCUUGAGAACAACAAUCAACUUCAUCGCAGUCAGGCCCAGAUGAUUUAAAUUCCAUUGUCUUUUCCACUGCAUUAAUUGAAUUACUUUGCCGAUCAAUAGGGUUGGCUCUCAACGGAGGUACAUUCCUUGGCAUUUUUAUCUGUUUUAAUUACUCACUCGGGAACACAUUUUUCUGUUUGUUUUUUAAGUUUCUCACUUACAACAGGGGGACUUGCCUGGACCAUCUGCCUCUCUUCAUGCCCUCUACUCUUUGUUUGCUGACCCAAUCAUAGUAGCGCACAAGCAUUUUGGAGACCAGUCUUUGAGCUAAGUUCACGAUUGGAUACUGUGGGAGACAUGAUCAAUCGAAGCCAGAAAAAAAUAAUUUGAAGUUGUGCGUAUGUCACAAGAGGAUCAACUCUUUGGCUGUCUCUUUUGUCUAUUUCCUGAUUUUAAAAAGCAGGCUCAUGGGCUUAGCAACUGAAGCAAUUCCACUUUUAUGAUGACUCGUAAAAUCUUCAAAGAAAGUUGGUUUAUUAAGCAUCUCCUACUGCGUUAGUGGAUGCUGGUUUGCUUCAAUCUUAUGCUGAUAAGUCCAUUUUGCAUUUCAUGCAUUAGCUCAUCCUCUGUACUUAUCUUGGUUUAUGUUGAAUACACUUAUAUCUUAUGAUCAGUAACUGAUUUAACAUAGUUUCUAUUUGGCUGA